GACGAACGCUGGCGGCGUGCUUAACACAUGCAAGUCGAACGGAAAGGCCCUGCUUUUGUGGGGUGCUCGAGUGGCGAACGGGUGAGUAACACGUGAGUAACCUGCCCUUGACUGUGGGAUAACUUCAGGAAACUGGGGCUAAUACCGGAUAGGAGCUCCUGCAGCAUGGUGGGGGUUGGAAAGUGUCGGCGGUUGUGGAUGGACUCGCGGCUUAUCAGCUUGUUGGUGGGGUAGUUGCUUACCAAGGCUUUGACGGGUAGCCGGCCUGAGAGGGUGACCGGCCACAUUGGGACUGAGAUACGGCCCAGACUCCUACGGGAGGCAGCAGUGGGGAAUAUUGCACAAUGGGCGGAAGCCUGAUGCAGCAACGCCGCGUGCGGGAUGACGGCCUUCGGGUUGUAAACCGCUUUCGCCUGUGACGAAGCGUGAGUGACGGUAAUGGGUAAAGAAGCACCGGCUAACUACGUG
rnacentral:rRNA from 1 species